rnacentral:rRNA from 1 species
UACGAAGGGGGCUAGCGUUGUUCGGAUUUACUGGGCGUAAAGCGCACGUAGGCGGAUCUUUAAGUCAGGGGUGAAAUCCUGGAGCUCAACUCCAGAACUGCCUUUGAUACUGAGGAUCUUGAGUCCGGGAGAGGUGAGUGGAACUCCGAGUGUAGAGGUGAAAUUCGUAGAUAUUCGGAAGAACACCAGUGGCGAAGGCGGCUCACUGGCCCGGUACUGACGCUGAGGUGCGAAAGCGUGGGGAGCAAACAGG